rnacentral:rRNA from 1 species
AGAUUGAACGCUGGCGGCAGGCCUAACACAUGCAAGUCGAGCGGCAGCACGGGUACUUGUACCUGGUGGCGAGCGGCGGACGGGUGAGUAAUGCCUAGGAAUCUGCCUGAUAGUGGGGGAUAACGCUCGGAAACGGACGCUAAUACCGCAUACGUCCUACGGGAGAAAGCAGGGGACCUUCGGGCCUUGCGCUAUCAGAUGAGCCUAGGUCGGAUUAGCUAGUUGGUGGGGUAAUGGCUCACCAAGGCGACGAUCCGUAACUGGUCUGAGAGGAUGAUCAGUCACACUGGAACUGAGACACGGUCCAGACUCCUACGGGAGGCAGCAGUGGGGAAUAUUGGACAAUGGGCGAAAGCCUGAUCCAGCCAUGCCGCGUGUGUGAAGAAGGUCUUCGGAUUGUAAAGCACUUUAAGUUGGAGGAAGGCAGUUACCUAAUACGUAUCUGUUUGACGUUACCGACAGAAUAAGCACCGGCUAACUCUGUGCC